UGAGUAACACGUAUCCAACCUGCCGUCUACUCUUGGCCAGCCUUCUGAAAGGAAGAUUAAUCCAGGAUGGCAUCAUGAGUUCACAUGUCCGCAUGAUUAAAGGUAUUUUCCGGUAGACGAUGGGGAUGCGUUCCAUUAGAUAGUAGGCGGGGUAACGGCCCACCAAGCCUUCGAUGGAUAGGGGUUCUGAGAGGAAGGUCCCCCACAUUGGAACUGAGACACGGUCCAA
rnacentral:rRNA from 1 species